GCGAGUCUUUGUAGUAAUACAAGGCAGACGGCUCAGUAACACGUAGUCAACCUACCCUAUGGACGAGAAUAAUCUCGGGAAACUGAGCAUAAUUCUCGAUAGAUCAUAAUGCCUGGAAUGGUUUAUGGUUAAAAUGAUUCGUCGCCAUAGGAUGGGACUGUGGCCUAUCAGCUUGUUGGUGAGGUAAUGGCCCACCAAGGCGAUUACAGGUACGGGCUCUGAGAGGAGAAGCCCAGAGAUGGGUACUGAGACACGGACCCAGGCCCUAUGGGGCGCAGCAGGCGAGAAAACUUUGCAAUGUGCGAAAGCACGACAAGGUUAAUCCGAGUGAUUUCUGCUAAAGAAAUCUUUUGUCAGUCAUAAAACCACUGGCGAAUAAGGGGUGGGCAAGUUCUGGUGUCAGCCGCCGCGGUAAAACCAGCACCUCAAGUGGUCAGGAUGAUUAUUGGGCCUAAAGCAUCCGUAGCCGGCUUUGUAAGUUUUCGGUUAAAUCCAUGUGCUCAACACAUGGGCUGCCGAAAAUACUGCAUGGCUAGGGAGUGGGAGAGGUAGACGGUACUCAGUAGGAAGGGGUAAAAUCCUUUGAUCUAUUGAUGACCACCUGUGGCGAAGGCGGUCUACCAGAACACGUUCGACGGUGAGGGAUGAAAGCUGGGGGAGCAAACCGGAUUAGAUACCCGGGUAGUCCCAGCUGUAAACGAUGCAGACUCGAUGAUGCAUUGGCAUAAUAGCCAGUGCAGUGUCGCAGGGAAGCCGUUUAAGUCUGCCGCCUGGGAAGUACGUACGCAAGUAUGAAACUUAAAGGAAUUGGCGGGGGAGCACC
rnacentral:rRNA from 2 species